rnacentral:lncRNA from 1 species
AGAGUAGAAUGAUUGUAAAUUUUUACAUAUGAUAAUGGUAUGAUAGCUAAGGUUUUUAUUUUUAGAGAUGCUUGCAGAAAUAUUCAUGGAUGCGGCCAAGUGCGGUGGCUCAUGCCUGUAAUCCCAGCACUUUGGGAGGCUGAGGUGGGCGGAUUACGAGGUCAGGAGAACCAGACCAUCCUGGCUAACAUGGUGAAACCCGGUCUCUACUAAAAAUAAAAAAUAAAAAUAAAUUUUAAAAAAAUAACAGGGCAUGGUGGCGGGCGCCUGUAGUCCCAGCUACUCGGGAGGCUGAGGCAGGAGAAUGACGUGAACCUGGGAGGUGGAGCUUGCAGUGAGCGAAGAUCGUGCCACUGCACUCCAGCCUGGGCAACAGAGUGAGACUCUGUGAAAGACAGAGAGAAAGAAGGAAGGAAGGAAGGAAGGAAGGAAGGAAGGAAGGAAGGAAGGAAGGUAGGAAGGAAGGAAGGAGGGAGGGAGGGAGGGAGGGAGGGAGGGAAGGAAGGAAGGAAAGGAAGGAAGGAAAGGAGGGAGGGAGGCAGGGAGGGAGGGAAGGAAGGAAAAGAAAGAAAGAAAUAUUCAUACGAUGUCUAGGAUUUGCCUCCAUAAAACCCAAUGAGGUUGGGGGUUGGGAAACAAAAGAAAAUAUGGAUGAGGAUGAAACGAGAUUGGCUUAGAGUUGGUAGGUGUUGAAGUUGAGCAGUGAGCGCCUGAGGACUUCUUAGGCUAUGUCUCUACUUCUGUGUAUGUUUCAAAAUUUCCCAAACGAAACAUUUUCUAAAUUGUCCAGUGUAGAAGGCUCAAGCCUUCGGCAUCUUCCCCCAUCCCCACCGAAGUCCCCAGUCCUCCCCUGGUAACAUUCUGGGCAGCUUUCCUCCUUGCUUCCCCAGCACCUCCUGGGCUAUUUCAGACUCCGUGCCAGCGGAGCACCACACUGCCUCAGCCCCCGCAGUUGGCACUUGGACAAAAAUCUUUUCCUGACCCCAGAUGGCAUUGCAGCUUCCUCAGUCCGAUCCUGUAAGCAUAUUUUUUUCCAGGCACCUGAUUCCUGGAUGUGGCAGCAAUAAAACCAACCGAGAUUGUUUGACUGGCCCCCUCUGGAGCAGGUAUUUCCCAUUCCGAUGCCGUCAGCCAUCUGAGCGUGCUGCUUCCAAGAGCUCGGAAAUAACAGCCGGCUCCUUCCUGGAACAUCCACUUCUGUCUUCCCUGUGAAUCCACUGCUUGCUUCACCGAACAAUUCAGACCACUCCAUUUCCCAGCAGAGCCCUGACCUGAGAAUGACAGGUAAAACUCUUUUCACCUUAGGGCUGAGUAAAAGUACUAAGACAAGGAAUUCUUUCAUGUUAUUUUCCUAACUCCAGGAUCAUUGAUCUGUGUAGCCUUAGGUGAGUUACUUAAACUUUCUGAAUCUCAGUUUCACCCAUUGUGAAAUGGAGAUGAUAAAAACUGCCCGAUUUAUAUAUAAAUAAUCAUUGAUGUUAACUCCAGUUGAAAAGUACAGAGGGCAGUAUGUAGUCACUGGUUUAAUAUUUAUGGUGUUUUAUUAAAUGUAAUUCACUAAUCUAGGCACAAGAUAGAAUAUAAAAGUAUGCCCUCAAAGAUUUAUAAUAUAGUUUGGGAAGAAAGAUUUCAUCAAUUACACCAGUACAAGGCCAUGAAAGGUGCUAGGGAAGUUUAGAGGAGGAAGAAAUAAAUUCUGACUGGGGAGCUCAGAGAUGGUAUCGUGAAGGGGGUGGCCUGUGAGCUGGACAAUGAGAGACAAAUGUGUCUGAGUUAUGCAGCUUGGAGGGAGGAAACAAAAAGACAAUGUGUGCAGAAGGAACACCAUGAACAAAUGACUGAGUUUAGGGAAGGGGGUGUCCUGCAAGCCCCUGGGUGCCAUGUGGUUUAGUCUGGCUGAAGUGUAAGGGUUCAUCAUGGAGAGUAAUCCAAGAUAAGCCCAGACAUGUGGAUUUGCAAUGGAUUGUCAAAUGCUGGGCUUCAGAAUUUAGGCAUUAUUUGAGAAGCCAUCUAGAGCCAUGGAAUCUAUUUGAAUACAAAGUGUUCAAAUACAAAGAUGCAGUUUUGGAAGAUUCCUUGAGCAGCAAAGUAGAGAAUGGACUAGAGACGACAUUACACAGGUGCAAGUUACAAAGUGCUGUGAUAGUCAUUUGCUCCAAAUAAGCUGUAUCAAUAUCUGUAACUUCUUAUGAUGGAUCUUCUUUCUCUGCACCAUUUCACAAGUCUUGGGGCUUGCCUUGGCACAUGGUGAGGAUCUGCUGGUCCUAACUGGUUGAUGGCUGAGUUUCAGUUCUGUGUGUAUGCACUGAAGCCCAGUGCAGCAGCUGUCUAAGGUGUCAGCAAAGGAUUGAAAGGAGAGGCCAACCACGUUUAAGCUAAAGGUGCUUUUCUCCUCCCUCCGCCUUCUCUGCUCAAGUUUGACUCUCAGAGGCUUGCAGCUUCACUCACAAAUAGAGACGGCAGAGACAACUGCCAGAGAGCACAUCUGGCAGGGCCCUGAGCAGAUGUUGUAACCACUGGGAUGCAGAGCCCAAGAUGCUGACUGGCACCUGAGUUUCAAUGCUGAACCUUCCCUCCUGCUCUUUUAUAACACAAUCUUCU